ACGGGAGGCAGCAGUGGGGAAUUUUGCGCAAUGGGGGAAACCCUGACGCAGCAACGCCGCGUGCGGGACGAAGGCCUUCGGGUUGUAAACCGCUUUCAGCAGGGAAGACUUUGACGGUACCUGCAGAAGAAGCUCCGGCUAACUACGUGCCAGCAGCCGCGGUAAUACGUAGGGGGCGAGCGUUAUCCGGAUUCAUUGGGCGUAAAGCGCGCGUAGGCGGCCGCCUAAGCGGAACCUCUAAUCCCGGGGCUCAACCUCGGGCCGGGUUCCGGACUGGGCGGCUCGAGUGCGGUAGAGGCAGGCGGAAUUCCCGGUGUAGCGGUGGAAUGCGCAGAUAUCGGGAAGAACACCGAUGGCGAAGGCAGCCUGCUGGGCCGCCACUGACGCUGAGGCGCGAAAGCUGGGGGAGCGAACAGGAUUAGAUACCCUGGUAGUCCCAGCCGUAAACGAUGGGCGCUAGGUGUGGGGGGACAGUCCCCCCGUGCC
rnacentral:rRNA from 1 species